rnacentral:tRNA from 1 species
GGAGAGGUGGCCGAGCGGCCGAAGGCAACGGUUUGCUAAACCGUCGCAGGGUGAAAACUCUGCCGCGGGUUCGAAUCCCGCCCUCUCCGCCA